rnacentral:lncRNA from 1 species
GCCUUGUUCCUUUCCAGCCAUAUUGUCCAGAAAAUGCACAACGGCAUAGUCCACCAUAUCUGCUUGUUCUCCUUGUGAGUAGCCUGUUAUAGCCAACUUUGUAAUAAACCUCUCAUAUUCUGAGGCAUCACCAAGUAAUACCACACAGACACUUAGAAAUAACUCCCAGCAUUGUUUCGCAACUCUGCAGUGGAUAAACAGGUGCUCAACAGUUCCUUGAUCUUCUUGACACAAGCAGCAUCUAUU